rnacentral:rRNA from 1 species
UGCGGAAGGAUCAUUAAAGAGUAAGGGUGCUCAGCGCCCGACCUCCAACCCUUUGUUGUUAAAACUACCUUGUUGCUUUGGCGGGACCGCUCGGUCUCGAGCCGCUGGGGAUUCGUCCCAGGCGAGCGCCCGCCAGAGUUAAACCAAACUCUUGUUAUUAAACCGGUCGUCUGAGUUAAAAUUUUGAAUAAAUCAAAACUUUCAACAACGGAUCUCUUGGUUCUCGCAUCGAUGAAGAACGCAGCGAAAUGCGAUAAGUAAUGUGAAUUGCAGAAUUCAGUGAAUCAUCGAAUCUUUGAACGCACAUUGCGCCCCUUGGUAUUCCGAGGGGCAUGCCUGUUCGAGCGUCAUUACACCACUCAAGCUAUGCUUGGUAUUGGGUGCCGUCCUUAGUUGGGCGCGCCUUAAAGACCUCGGCGAGGCCUCACCGGCUUUAGGCGUAGUAGAAAUUUAUUCGAACGUCUGUCAAAGGAGAGGACUUCUGCCGACUGAAACCUUUUAUUUUUCUAGGUUGACCUCGGAUCAGGUAGGGAUACCCGCUGAACUUAAGCAUA